rnacentral:rRNA from 1 species
UACGUAGGGGGCAAGCGUUGUUCGGAUUUACUGGGCGUAAAGGGCGCGUAGGCGGCCACCGCAAGUCGGUUGUGAAAUCUCCGGGCUUAACCCGGAACGGUCAAUCGAUACUGCGGGGCUAGAGUGCAGAAGGGGCAACUGGAAUUCUCGGUGUAGCGGUGAAAUGCGUAGAUAUCGAGAGGAACACCUGCGGCGAAGGCGGGUUGCUGGGCUGACACUGACGCUGAGGCGCGAAAGCUGGGGGAGCGAACGGG